UUCAAAAUGAACAAGGGGAGAUGGAAACAGGAAUAAGUAUAUAACCCUAAGAAUGCAAGACUAGUUGAUGUUAGGGAUAUGUAAGGAACCUGAAAACAAGAUGACAGUUAAAGAAUCUGUGCUGAGCUACAUUUGGUUCCGGUGUCUCCGGUAAAUUCUACACUAGAUGAGCACCUAACAGACUUCCUGGGAUCCAGAUGAUUUUAGAGUAAAGAUCCAUGUCCCACAUUCAUCCUCUGGCACUGGAGAUCCAACCAUUGUGCUGUACGAGACAUUGAUCGUCUAUGAUUCAGAACAGAGGGGUCAUGCAGAGGAGAGCUACCAGGAAGCCUUCAUAGAAAAGGCCAUGUCAGAGCUACUCUUACAGACAUUACAUUACAUGAUGAGAAGGAAGUUGCUGGACAGAGAGAAGAGUGCAUUCCAGUACGCGGGCCCCUCACUGCCGUGGCCUCUCCCGUUGCGGAGCACAGGCUCCGGACGCGCAGGCUCAGCGGCCAUGGCUCACGGUCCCAGCCGUUCCGCGGCAUGUGGGAUCCUCCCAGACCGGGGCAGGAACCCCUGUCCCUUGCAUCGGCAGGCGGACUCUCAACCACUGCACCACCAGGGAAGCCCAUUAACAGUUUUUUUUAAUGUAUGAUUGACGUGUACUAAGAUGCUCCUAUUUAAAGUACAGUUUGGUAAAAUGUGUCAUUUGAAUAUGCCUCAAUAAAGUUAAUGUACAUAGACCCUC